GGUGACAUUUGACCCGGAUAACUAACCAGCACUUCCCUCCGCUGCUCCUUUCCACUGGUGUCUUUCUCUGUGGAGGCCUCUGGUGUCUCCACCGCAUUUGCAGGUUUGGCCACCCUCCCGUGCAGUGAGUCCCAGCUCAGGAGAACAUGCUGCCUGCAGCCUUGCCUUCCUCCCUGAGGGCUUUCUCUGCUGUCACAGUGUCUGGACACCAAAUCUGAGAGAGGAUGUUUCUCUGCUGUUCUCCACUCCAUCAUCUUCCCAAAAGUCCCAAAGGGAAGAUUGUUUUUGUAAACCAGGGAUUGAACUCAGGCCCUUGCGCUUGCCAGGGAAGCGCUUAUUCUACUGAGUCAUCUGAAGCCAAGAUCAUUUCCGUGGCCUGAGACUGUUUUAUACAAGACAACAAUAAGAAUAAGAACACCAUUUGAUAAAUGCAUU